UGCAGUCGAACGAACCUUCGGGUUAGUGGCGGACGGGUGAGUAACGCGUGAGAAUCUGCCCUCAGGRGGGGGAUAACGGUUGGAAACGACCGCUAAUACCCCAUAUGCCUACUGGUGAAAUGAAUUUCGCCUGAGGAUGAGCUCGCGUCUGAUUAGCUAGUUGGUGAGGUAAUGGCUCACCAAGGCUUCGAUCAGUAGCUGGUCUGAGAGGAUGAUCAGCCACACUGGGACUGAGACACGGCCCAGRCUCCUACGGGAGGCAGCAGUGGGGAAUUUUCCGCAAUGGGCGAAAGCCUGACGGAGCAACGCCGCGYGAGGGACGAAGGCCUCUGGGCUGUAAACCUCUUYUCUCAAGGAAGAAGAUAUGACGGUACUUGAGGAAUAAGCCACGGCUAAUUCCGUGCCAGCAGCCGCGGUAAUACGGGAGUGGCAAGCGUUAUCCGGAAUUAUUGGGCGUAAAGCGUCCGCAGGCGGCUUUUCAAGUCUGCUGUUAAAGCGUGGAGCUUAACUCCAUCAUGGCAGUGGAAACUGAARGGCUUGAGUAUGGUAGGGGCAGAGGGRAUUCCCGGUGUAGCGGUGAAAUGCGUAGAUAUCGGGAAGAACACCAGUGGCGAAGGCGCUCUGCUGGGCCAUUACUGACGCUCAUGGACGAAAGCCAGGGGAGCGAAAGGGAUUAGAUACCCCUGUAGUCCUGGCCGUAAACGAUGAACACUAGGUGUCGGGGGAAUCGACCCCUUCGGUGUCGUAGCUAACGCGUUAAGUGUUCCGCCUGGGGAGUACGCACGCAAGUGUGAAACUCAAAGGAAUUGACGGGGGCCCGCACAAGCGGUGGAGYAUGUGGUUUAAUUCGAUGCAACGCGAANAACCUUA
rnacentral:rRNA from 1 species